rnacentral:rRNA from 1 species
CCUGGUUGAUCCUACCAGUAGUCAUAUGCUUGUCUCAAAGAUUAAGCCAUGCAUGUGUAUGUAUGAACUAAUUUAGACUGUGAAACUACGAAUGGCUCAUUAAAUCAGUUAUAGUUUGUUUGAUCGUAUCUACUACUUAGAUAACCAUAGUAAUUCUAGAGCUAAUACAUGCAACAAACCCCGACUUCUGGAAGGGAUGCAUUAUUAGAUAAAAGGUCGACAUGGGCUAUGCCCGUUGCACUGAUGAUUCAUGAUAACUCAAUGGAUUGCACAGCCUUUAUGCCAAUGACGCAUCAUUUAAAUUUUUGCCCUAUCAACUUUCGAUUGUAGGAUAGUGGCCUACUAUGGUGGUGACGGGUGAUGGAGAAUUAGGGUUUGAUUUUAGAGAGGGAGCCUGAGAAACGGCUACCACAUCCAAGGAAGGCAGCAGGCGCCCAAACUACCCAAUCCUGACACAGAGAGGUAGUGACAAUAAAUAACAAUACUGGGCUCUAUGAGUCUGGUAAUUGGAAUGAGUAUAAUCUAAGUCCCUUAACGAGGAUCCAUUGAAGGGCAAGUCUGGUGCCAGUAGCCACGAUAAUUCCAACUCCAAUAGCGUAUAUUUAAGUUGUUGUAGUUAAAAAGCUUGUAGUUAGAACUAGGGUUGGGUCAUUCGAUCCGCCUCAUGGUGAGCAUCGAUCUACUCGUCCCUACUAUCGGUGAUACGCUCCUAGACUUAAUUGCCCGAGUCAUUCCUUCGACGCUGUUACUUUGAAAAAAUUAGAGUGCUCAAAGAAAGCCUACGCUUGUAUACAUUAGCAUGGGAUAACAUCAUAAGAUUUCGGUCCUAUUGUGUUGGUCUUCAGGAUCGAAGUAAUGAUUACAAGGACAGUCGGGGGCAUUCAUAUUUCAUAGUCAGAGGUGAAAUUCUUGGAUUUAUGAAAGACGAACAACUGCAAAAGCAUUUGCCAAGGAUAUUUUCAUUAAUCAAGAACGAAAGUUGGGGGCUCGAAGAUGAUCAAAUAUCAUCCUAGUCUCAACCAUAAAUGAUGUCGACCAGGGAUCGAUGGAUGUUACUUUUACGACUCCACCAGCAUCUUAUGAGAAAUCAAAGUCUUUGGGUUCAAGGGGAAGUAUGGUCGCAAGGCUGAAACUUAAAGGAAUUGACGAAAGGGCACCACCAGAAGUGGAGCCUGCGGCUUAAUUUGACUCAACACAGUGAAACUUACUAGGUCCAAACAUAGUAAGGAUUGACAAACUGAGAGCUCUUUCUUGAUUCUAUCGGUGGUGGUGCAUGGUCAUUCUUAGUUGGUGAAGCGAUUUGUCUGGUUAAUUCUCUUAACGAACGAGACCUCAACCUGCUAACUAGCUACAUGGAGGUGAUCUUUCGUGGCUAGCUUCUUAGAGGGACUAUGGCCACUUAGGCCAAGGAAGUUUAAGGUAAUAACAGGUCUGUGAUGCCUUUAGAUAUUUUAGGCCGCACGCGCGCUACACUGGUGUAUUCAAUGAGUUUAUAGCCUUGGCUGAUAGGCCCGGGUACUCUUUGAAAUUUCAUCAUGAUGGGGAUAGAUCAUUGUAAUUAUUGGUCUUCAACGAGGAAUUCCUAGUAAGCGCAAGUCAUUAGCUUGCAUUGACUACGUCCUUGCCCUUUGUAUACACACCGCCUGUCGUUCCUACCGAUUAAGUGUUCGGAUCAUGACGACGUGAACGCUUUGCCCCCCACGACGUCGCAAGAAGUCCACUGAACCUUAUCAUUUAGAGGAAGGAGAAGUCGUAACAAGGUUUCCGUAGGUGAACUUGCGGAAG